rnacentral:rRNA from 1 species
UACGUAGGUGGCAAGCGUUGUCCGGAUUUACUGGGCGUAAAGAGCGCGCAGGCGGUCGUUCAAGUCGCGUGUGAAAGCCCCCGGCUCAACUGGGGAGGGUCACGCGAUACUGAUCGACUCGAAGGCAGGAGAGGGAGUGGAAUUCCCGGAUGUAGUGGUGAAAUGCGUAGAUAUCGGGAGGAACACCAGUGGCGAAGGCGACUACCUGGCCUGUUCUUGACGCUGAGGCGCGAAAGCUAGGGGAGCAAACGGG